UCCCUGCUAGUCUAGCAGCUAAGGAUCCUGUGCUCUCACCACCGUGGCCCAGGUUCAAUUCCUGGCCAGGGAA